UACCGGUAAAAUUUGUUCUCAUGAUCAAACUCAAGAAACUCUAAGUACAGAUGAUUUGUUUAAAGUUAUAUGUAUUUUACUGUUGUAUUUACAUGAAGCUUUCUUAGAUUUUGAAACGAAGUAAACACAUAAUGUGUGUUGCUAAUGUUGGGCCAUGUAAUAUGUAAUACAUUUACGUUUUAAUGAAUAGUCUAACGAUUUAUAGUCGUUGUACUCUAUUGUUAUAAUAUGUCUUUUUGACUGAAUACAUGUUUGUUUUAUUUGUCUAUAUCCUAGAUUUGCAGCUGGACACAUCCUUCUACACUGUAUGCAAACAUGCAACAUCAUUACACACAGAACAAGGAGUCAGAUUGGCAUAUGAGGAGCAAAGGUUGUACCUUGCAGCCAUCCAUUACAAUGUCACCAAGCCAUAACAAAAGCAGGAGAGGGAAAGUACAAGGCUAUGUUCCCAAAACACACAAGUGACAUACCUUAUGUGGAGGAUGUGAUCAGGCUUGUGUUUGAUGAGGUAUUUGAAGAUAAGCUGAAGGAAACCCCGAUUCCAAUGGACCUGGCAUCACAGUUUGAGAGACCUUCAAAGGAGGACGUGAUUGCAUGCCAUCUUCAGUGCAGGGGUCGUCGAAAGCCAAAAUUGUGACCGAUCUGAUCAGGAAGCUCCAAGCAUAUCUGGAGAACAACACACGACAGGAUGAUAACCUUAUAGUGUCGUCUUAAAUAGCACCAGCUGACAAAGCUUUGAUAUGCCAUUUAUCUGAAUAGAUAGCUGUAAGAAAUGAAUUGAACAAUUUUUUAAACAAGAGCACAAUAUGGUUACUAAAGUAUGUUUAUUUGUAUAUUGUUUA